rnacentral:rRNA from 1 species
CGAUGAUUACUCGCUGCUUGCGAUAAACUGUGAGUGGCCAAGCGAAAGCGUUAAGUAAUCCACCUGGGGAGUACGACCGCAAGGUUGAAACUCAAAGGAAUUGACGGGGGCCCGCACAAGCGGAGGAACAUGUGGUUUAAUUCGAUGAUACGCGAGGAACCUUACCUGGGCUUAAAUGUGAGUGACCGUUGCCGAAAGGUGACCUCUCUUCGGAGCACAAAACAAGGUGCUGCAUGGCUGUCGUCAGCUCGUGUCGUGAG